AAGGGGGGGUGGAUGGCAGCAGAAGGAGCUACUCCCCGGCCACUGCACGGUGACCAGAGCAGCCCGCGAUCAGAGCUCUCAACCCGCUUCGUUCCGGGCUUCCUCUUCUGUUCCCUCCUCUUUUUGCAGCGACACCCCCAGGGUCUCUCCGUAGAGCCUUCGAGAGCCCACGGUGGCCCGGGGCGCCGCGCCCUGACCCGUGCUCUAGGGUCGUGGAGGACGGCGCCCCAUCUGUGGAGACUGCGGCGCUAAGCCUCAAGUACCCCAAGGACGCUGAGGAAUAGAGAAAUGCGAGCCAGAGCAACUCCCGCCCCCCAGGAGCCGGGAACAAAGACCCCUUUGUUCGAGCUCUGUCCCUCUCCCGGGAGACCAGAGUCCCGUGGGUGUGGUGUCGUGGAGGGGAGGAGACAGGUCACCGCAGAGUCUUAAGGUUCCCUUGGCUUAAAUAUAUGUGAUCUGCGUUCAAGAUAAAUUUUUAAAAUAAGAUUCAGAGUUUGUCUUGAAAGUUAUACCUGGUCUGGGAAGAGGACUCAGCAAGCAUUGCACUUUCUGUGUGGAGUGACACUAUUAGGAGAUAUGUCCUUGUUGGAAUAGGUGUGGCCUUGUUGGAGGAAGUAUGUCACUGUGGAGGUGAGCUUUGAGGUCCUAUACUCAAGUUCCACACAGUGCAGAAGAGACAUUCUCCUCCUGUUUGCCUUCAGAUCAAGAUGCAGAAUUUCCACCUCCUCCUCCAGCAGUACAUUUGCCUGAAUACUGCCAUGCUUCCUGCCAUGAUGAUGAUGGACAGAACCUCUGAAACUACAAGCCAACCAUAAUUAAACACUGACCUUUAUAUGAGUUGCCUUGGUCAUGGUGUGUCUUCACAGCCAUAAAACCCUAAGACACUG